AUAAGGACAUCGGGGACCCCGUAAGAACCUCACUGGGGCCAUUUGGGGCCGUUUUUGGACAAUUUUGUGCCAUUUUUGGGCCAUUUUGGGGCCAUUUGGGGCCUUUUUGUGCCAUUUUGGGGCUAUUUGGUGCCAUUUAGGGUCCUUUUGGGGCCGUUUUGUGUUAUUUGGGGUCCUUUUGGGUCCGUUUUGUGGUAUUUAAGGCCCAUUUUGUGCCAUUUUGGUGCCUCUUUUUGCCAUUUAGGGUCCUUUUGGGGCCAUUUAGCAUCCUUUUUGGGUCACUUUGUGUUAUUUAGGGUCCUUUGGGGUCCUUUUGGGGGUAUUUAAGGCCCUUUUGGGGCCAUUUUAUGCCACUUAGAGACCUUUUGGGGCCACUUUGGGUCCUUUUGGGUCCGUCUUGUGUUACUCGGAAUCCUUUUGGGUCCAUUUUGAGUUAUUUAGGGCCCUUUUGGGGCCAUUUGGUCCUAUUUGAGGUCUCUUUGGGGCCAUUUUAUACCGUUUUAGUGCCUUUCUGUGCCCUUUUGGUGCCAUUUUGCGCCAUUCGGGGUCCUUUUGGGGCAAUUUUAUGCCUUUUUAGUGCCUUUUUGUGCCAUUCGGGGUCCUUCUGGGGCCAUUUUGUGCCUUUUUGUGCCAUUUUGCUGCCAUUUGGUGUCCUUUUGGGGCCACUUUGUGCCAUUUUAGUGCCUUUUUGUGCCAUUUUGGGGCCAUUUGGUGCCAUUCGGGGUCCUUUAGGGACCAUUUUAUGCCUUUUUGUGCCAUUUUGCAGGCAUUUGGUGCCAUUUGGGGUCCUUUUGGGGCCAUUUUAUGCCAUUUUAGUGCCUUUCUAUGCCAUUUUGGUGCCAUUUUAUGCCUUUUUAGUGACUUUUUGUGCCAUUUUAGUGCCUUUUUGUGCCAUUCGGGGUCCUUUUGGGGCCAUUUUAUGCCUUUUUGUACCAUUUUGGAGCCAUUUGGUGCCAUUUAGGGUCCUUUUGGGGCCAUUUAAUGCCUUUUUAGUGCCUUUUUGGUGCCAUUUGGGGUCCUUUUGGGGCCAUUUUAUGCCAUUUUAGUGCCUUUUUGUGCCGUUUUAGUGCCAUUCGGAGUCCUUUUGGGGCCAUUUGGUGCCAUUUAGGGUCCUUUUGGGGCCAUUUUAUGCCUUUUUGUGCCAUUUUGCUGCCAUUUGGUGCCAUUUAGUUUCCUUUAGGGGCCAUUUUGUGCCUUUUUGUGCCAUUUGGCAGCCAUUUGGUGCCAUUCGGGGUCAUUUUGGGGCCAUUUUAGUGCCUUUUUGUGCCAUUUUGUGGCCAUUUGGUGCCAUUUGGGGUCCCUUUGGGGCCAUUUUAUGCCUUUCCAGUGCCUUUUUGUGCCCUUUUGGGGCCAUUCGGUGCCAUUUAGGGUCCUUUUGGGGCCAUUUUAUGCCUUUUUGUGCCAUUUUGCAGCCAUUUAGGGCCCCUUUGGGGCCAUUUUAUGCCAUUUUAGUGCCUUUUUGUGCCAUUUGGCGGCCAUUUGGUGCCAUUCGGGGUCAU
rnacentral:lncRNA from 1 species